rfam:Daphnia magna strain Xinb3 scaffold01581, whole genome shotgun sequence.
CAAUCGGCCCUUAUCAGGGCCAACAUGUAAUUAAAGAAGAAAGCA